rnacentral:rRNA from 1 species
CCUACGGGCGGCUGCAGUGGGGAAUUUUGGACAAUGGGGGCAACCCUGAUCCAGCCAUGCCGCGUGCGGGAAGAAGGCCUUCGGGUUGUAAACCGCUUUUGUCAGGGAAGAAAUCUUCCGAGCUAAUACCUUGGGCGGAUGACGGUACCUGAAGAAUAAGCACCGGCUAACUACGUGCCAGCAGCCGCGGUAAUACGUAGGGGACAAGCGUUAAUCGGAAUUACUGGGGGUAAAGCGGGAAGAGGGGGUUGAAAGCCCCGGGCUUAACCUGGGAACUGCACUUGUGACUGUACGGCUGGAGUACGGCAGAGGGGGAUGGAAUUCCGCGUGUAGCAGUGAAAUGCGUAGAUAUGCGGAGGAACACCGAUGGCGAAGGCAGUCCCCUGGGCCUGUACUGACGCUCAUGCGCGAAAGCGUGGGGAGCAAACAGGAUUAGAUACCCCUGUAGUC